rnacentral:rRNA from 1 species
GAUGAACGCUGGCGGCGUGCCUAAUACAUGCAAGUCGAGCGAACGGACGAGAAGCUUGCUUCUCUGAUGUUAGCGGCGGACGGGUGAGUAACACGUGGAUAACCUACCUAUAAGACUGGGAUAACUUCGGGAAACCGGAGCUAAUACCGGAUAAUAUUUUGAACCGCAUGGUUCAAAAGUGAAAGACGGUCUUGCUGUCACUUAUAGAUGUAUCCGCGCUGCAUUAGCUAGUUGGUAAGGUAACGGCUUACCAAGGCAACGAUGCAUAGCCGACCUGAGAGGGUGAUCGGCCACAAUGGAACUGAGACACGGUCCAGACUCCUACGGGAGGCAGCAGUAGGGAAUCUUCCGCAAGGGGCGAAAGCCUGACGGAGCAACGCCGCGGGAGUGAUGAAGGUCUUCGGAUCGUAAAACGCUGUUAUUAGGGAAGAACAUAUGUGUAAGUAACUGUGCACAUCUGGACGGUACCUAAGCAGAAAACCACGGCUAACUACGU